AUUUGAAGUUAUAUGAUGAAAUGCUCUUGGAAUGGUUUUAGCAGGAUGUUUUGGAAAGGUGAAAGUCAUGCUUGCAUAUUAAAUGGUUUUGGCUUGGAACUUUGUUGGCUUGCGUUUGGAAUGGCUUGAAGACCUUUUGCUUGCAUAUGGCAAUGGCUUGAAGAGUUUUUGCUUGCAUAUGGAAUUGAAUUGUGGGACUUUGCUUGCUUGUGGAAUUUGGAGAUAGAUUGUGGAAUUCGGAAAUUGUAUGAAUGAAGGAAGAAAAUUUGGAAUGCUAUGUUUAAAUUUAGCAUUGUAGUUUCUUUGUAAUGAUCGAAGAUUGUAAUAAAAAAUUGGAUAUUGUAAUGUUGAAAUUGAAAAUAAUAGAGUGUUAGUUUGAAAUGAAAUAGAAAUGAAUAGUUAUGAUUGUUUGGAUGAAUGAAAUUGUAAUUAAAUGUUGGUUUGACAAAUAUGAAUGGAAUUUAGAUUGAAGAAAAUAAUUUUUGUAUGUAAUAGAAAUAGAUUGAUGAAA
rnacentral:lncRNA from 1 species